rnacentral:rRNA from 1 species
UCUGAACCAGCCAUGCCGCGUGGAGGAUGAAGGCCCUCUGGGUUGUAAACUUCUUUUAUUUGGGACGAAACACUUCUUUUCUAAGGAGCUUGACGGUACCAGAUGAAUAAGCACCGGCUAACUCCGUGCCAGCAGCCGCGGUAAUACGGAGGGUGCAAGCGUUAUCCGGAUUCACUGGGUUUAAAGGGUGCGUAGGCGGACAUGUAAGUCCGUGGUGAAAUCUCUAAGCUUAACUUGGAAACUGCCAUGGAUACUAUAUGUCUUGAAUGUUGUGGAGGUUAGCGGAAUAUGUCAUGUAGCGGUGAAAUGCAUAGAUAUGACAUAGAACACCAAUUGCGAAGGCAGCUGGCUACACAAAUAUUGACGCUGAGGCACGAAAGCGUGGGGAUCAAACAGGAUUAGAUACCCUGGUAGUCCACGCCCUAAACGAUGAUUACUCGACAUACGCGAUACACAGUGUGUGUCUGAGCGAAAGCAUUAAGUAAUCCACCUGGGAAGUACGACCGCAAGGUUG